rnacentral:tRNA from 1 species
GGAAACAUGGGUGGAAGCAUAUUCUUGCACUCAUAAUGCUGGGGUCGGUGGUUCAAGUCCACCUAUCACCACCA